rnacentral:lncRNA from 1 species
AGACAAGUAACACAGGCUGGUGAGCAGCUGUGCUAGGGGAACCCUUACACACCACUGGUGGAAUGAACACAAAUGUGGUCACUAGUGAGGGUCAUACACAGGUUUCUCAAACCAAGGUACUUCUGAGAGUGAAUGCGGGAGCUGUUACCAUUACUCUAGGUCUGACUGUUGCCAGGGCAACCAGAGCCUACCUGAAGCAUCCUGUGGUGAACAGAAGAAUAUUUCCAGUCACAUAUGUGGAUGUGCAGUACCACAAAUAGAGUUACUAGAAUAAAUGGGAUUCCUACUGUAUUAAAGAAUGUAUUAAUCCUACUGUAUUAAACAAUGGCCAUGAGACCUGUGAAGGUGC